UAGUCAAGCCAGAACACCACGCGCCCGCGCUUUUUCGCCAGGCAAGAAGGCAGAAAAGUUUCGUCGCACAUGGGAGACUUCUGUACAGCUGUUCUGUAUUUUCGGCAGCUGAAGACCGUGUUGGACAUCAGAUGCCCUCCAUCAGCAUGAAAUCUGAACCUAGAGGAACUGCUGGUGGUCUGGAGGCACCAGCGGGUGGCGUACAGGACCUGGCCCAGAGAGUAGAUCUGCCAUCAGCACAUUACCAUGUCAUCCUCACGGAGCACUGCAAUGGUGCGUUGUGAUACCUAGCCUGGUACCCACUGCCAGUCCCGGCCCCAUCCUGUAACAGAGGCCAGUAAGGGUUUCAACCUGUCACCACUCGCCGGGCACCGUCCUGUGCUAUAGCGACCACUCACACACCUGCCCCUGCCCUGUUUUAUGGCUGCCAACCACUCAUCUGGCUUUGUCCUGCACAACGAGAGCCACCUGACAACCAGAACAGCCUUGUGCCAUGGCAGUUCUGCUAUAGCAACACAUCAGCGCCAACAUCUCAUCGGUUUUGCUGGGGGCCGCCGCCCUAUCUACGACAAGCCACGCGCACUGCAUAGAUCACCGUAUCAGCGUCGAGAGGAGCGAGUGCAUGCAAACCAACGAGCAUAUUGCGCCGUCAGCUUCUGAUGGCCCUGAGCUCCCAGCGACACCUUUUUGUCAGCGCAGCGUGACGUCAUCGACAGCCGCUUCUACAAAAGAACCGCUCUGCUGCUUGAACUUCAGGGGACACGGCGGACCCGGCCCUGCAACAAUGCUGACCAGGCACCUGCUCUUCGUUGUGCAGAGUUGUUGCACUUACUGGCUGCACUCUGCUAUGGAUCCUGCACAGCCCUGAUGGAUCAUGUGGCUGCAGUGACAUGUGCAAUAGAUCACUUGGUGCCUACCUUUCCUGCCGUUGUGCUCACACAGAUCCGUGCAUCCUUUACAUAUGUGGACACAGUGUCUCCGGUACCAGGUCUUCACCCUACCAUUGGCUUGCUGCCAACCCUGGGACAUUUUUUGCUUUCGCAUAAGAAGCAUCCACCCAAAGUCGCAGUUCAGUAAACUUGGUGACACCACCCA